rnacentral:snRNA from 1 species
UUUACUGUACCGCGAUUGCGAUU